UUUACCGGUAUUUCCGAGUGCACGGCGGCACGGAUUCAUUCGUUCGUACACUCAAGACUGGUUGCUUCUUUGUUUCUAAAACUAGUUUCUUGCGCUUCGAUGUAACUUGGGGUGAAGUUACGUGUUUGCAAGCGGACAUGUAAGCCCGGCAGUUGGGUUUCGGUCGUGAGCCAUUCGGAACAGGUCUGCAUCGAAACGGGAGCUGGAUUUUGCUGCGGCUGACAACGGCAAUAACGACAUGCAGUAAUGAGGACGGCGCCAGUAUAAAGCAACACACUCCACGCACUAAACAGAAGCUGCUGCCUGCUACAACAAGGUCAUUGUGUGGACAUUGGCUACUACUACAAGAGUCUAUGCCAAGCACAUCUUGGUCGUCACAGGAGCUCCUAUCUGCACUAACAGGAAGGGGCUGGAGCCGAAUUUGCAAGGCUUUUACACCAAGAACAAAGAAGCACAUGCACAAGAAUAUGGAUGAGAUAUCAAGUCUGCAAAGGACUGUGUUAAGACUGCAAAGAGCUUCAGCCACCAUUCCACCAGCACGGACAUUUGGCUGAGUCAUCCAGGUAACUCAAAAAGGACUUUCUAGAAAUUCUUCGUCUUCAGAUGCACCUGCAACAUCUGACCAAGCACGGACGACGCUGGCCAAAAGAUUGA